rnacentral:tRNA from 1 species
CGAGGCGUAGCGAAGGUGGUAUCGCGCCAGUUUCGGGUACUGGAGACCGUGGGUUCGAGUCCCGCCGCUUCGACCA